UCUGUUCUUCACUCCAUGAAGUUUCAGAGCCCUUUCCUCUUGACACACCCAUCCCAGUACCCAAAUCAACCACUGAAUCACGUUGAAGAACAUGAAGUUUCUCUCUGAUUUCUGAAGUCCCAAAUGGCGCUAUCCUGCAUGAGCUUUUGAAUGAGUCUUACAUAUUUGUUCUGCCCUGCCAUCUUAAGAAAGGGAUGUUUCAUCCUUCUAACAUGAGGAUGGGAAAAUCCUUAUGUUAGUGGCUGUCAGAUUCUUGGUCUUGCAUGGCCAAAACUCUGGCUUGUUGGUAGGUAGGCAGUGUUCCUGGUCCAAGAAUAUAGG
rnacentral:sRNA from 1 species